AGAGUUUGAUCCUGGCUCAGGACGAACGCUGGCGGCGUGCUUAACACAUGCAAGUCGAGCGGUAAGGCCCUUUCGGGGGUACACGAGCGGCGAACGGGUGAGUAACACGUGGGUGACCUGCCCUCCACUCUGGGAUAAGCCCGGGAAACUGGGUCUAAUACCGGAUAGGACCACUGAUCGCAUGGUUGGUGGUGGAAAGUUUUUUCGGUGGGGGAUGGGCCCGCGGCCCAUCAGCUUGUUGGUGGGGUGAUGGCCUACCAAGGCGGUGACGGGUAGCCGGCCUGAGAGGGCGACCGGCCACACUGGGACUGAGACACGGCCCAGACUCCUACGGGAGGCAGCAGUGGGGAAUAUUGCGCAAUGGGCGGAAGCCUGACGCAGCGACGCCGCGUGGGGGAUGACGGCCUUCGGGUUGUAAACCUCUUUCGCCAGGGACGAAGAGCAAUUGACGGUACCUGGAGAAGAAGCACCGGCCAACUACGUGCCAGCAGCCGCGGUAACACGUAGGGUGCGAGCGUUGUCCGGAAUUAUUGGGCGUAAAGAGCUCGUAGGCGGUGUGUCGCGUCGGCCGUGAAAACUUGGGGCUUAACUCUGAGCGUGCGGUCGAUACGGGCAUCACUUGAGUUCGGCAGGGGAGACUGGAAUUCCUGGUGUAGCGGUGAAAUGCGCAGAUAUCAGGAGGAACACCGGUGGCGAAGGCGGGUCUCUGGGCCGAUACUGACGCUGAGGAGCGAAAGCGUGGGGAGCGAACAGGAUUAGAUACCCUGGUAGUCC
rnacentral:rRNA from 1 species